UACAGAGGGUGCAAGCGUUGUUCGGAAUUACUGGGCGUAAAGAGUGUGUAGGCGGUGUUCCCAGUCUGUUGUGAAAUCUCCCGGCUUAACUGGGAGGGUGCAGCGGAAACUAGAAUGCUAGAGGGUGGGAGAGGUAAGCGGAAUUCCUGGUGUAGCGGUGAAAUGCGUAGAUAUCAGGAGGAACACCUGUGGUGUAGACAGCUUACUGGACCACUUCUGACGCUGGGACACGAAAGCGUGGGUAGCAAACAGG
rnacentral:rRNA from 1 species